AUAAUGUUACCAAAGAAUACAGCAUACAGCAGAGAUUGCUGUCCUACAACAGCCUCUUAAUCAUGUCUGUAAGAGAUUCACAUGGUGUUGUCAAGUGUUUUUACAUCAGGAGCCCUGGAGCUGGACUUUUGGACUAUUUUUGCACUUGUUUGAGACUCUGACCUUCUGCAGUUGGUAUACCCAUGUGUUUGUGUACAAUGGUUCCCAAGUUUUUUGCUCAGUUAUUCUCCCAAAUUCCACUCUGAAGAAGGACUCCAGGGGAGAGAAAGAAAAAUACAGGGCUCAGGAGAGAAUGCCUCCAACUCCAUUAUGUGUAUGGAAAACUAUAUGAAGCCCCAUUAUCGCUACAAAGAAUCACAAUAGGGAAGGGGAAGAGUUGGAUUAAUUCAGCAGGCCUUGAAUCAAACUUUUCAGUUCUGUGGGACUUGGAACACAAGCUGAGCCCUUCAUCUGUCUGCACUUUGAGUGCAACUUCUUUUUGCUGCUCUCAUUGCUGCUAUUGAAACAACUGCUUCAGGACAAGCUGAGUUACCUUACUCCAGCUGCAACACUUUAUGGUUGCUAGCACCAUAAACAAAAAUAACUUAGAAAAUAACAGAUAAGUAAUAUUCAGGAAGAAUGGACUUUCUUGUAGUGCUUAUCCUGCUGUGAAACUCAAACCAAUAACAAAUAUAGGCUGGAGUGGUCUAAAACUUGCAAGUGACUCAAAUCAAAUGCCUCUUGUCUUAUCUCCUUUAACCACAGCCAUGAGGCAUGCAGCCCUUUGGAAAGCUCUCAAGUGGAAUUUCCCUUUCCAGCUUAAAUUUCCCGAGACUUGGGGUAAUGGGAAACUUUCUAUUGGCCUCCCUUCUGGAAACUAAAUAUAGAAAGACUGUUUAAGAUAAAAGGCUGUAGUCAGAUCAUGUGAGGACAGUGGUGUACAUUUCUUGCAUUUCAAGACGCCCUGUGAAAACACUGACUCAUCAAUGGUCAUUAUUCUCAUGGUGAGUGUUUCCCUUCAAUAUUUUGGCUGUUACAUGCACAAUUUUGGCAUCAUUUAAGCUUCUUUCAUAUGCCUAGGUAUUCUAAGUGUUGGUACCUCUGUCAGUGAGGUCACCUCUACAGUAAAGAAAAAAGGCCACCAGUUACUGUCAGAUCUGUAACCUCCCUGUCAACAUCAGAAAUAGAAAAUCCGGCCAAUAAUUACAGAGAGAGCUCUGCAGCUUGCCAGCAACGUUUGCUGGAUCUGGACUACAAAAGUAAACGCUCUGCAUGUGUGUUCAGCUUGUCCUCCGUGUAGCUGCUAGAUUCCAUGACAGUCUUAAGGCAAAGACAGCUCAAACAGGCAGUGAGCUAAAUGGAAGCAUUUGCUGGGCUGCUGCUGUGCAAGGGAAGUGUCCACACAGCUGCUUAGAGGGGUGGCUGUACAGGCAGACCCAAGAAAAGUGCACUGAUACACCCAGUCUGUUCCACUUAGAACAUUGUCUGCAGAUUCCUGAUGAGCAGAAGGUUCACUGCAAAGAGCAAGAUAUAAAGGGGUGUAUGGAAAUGCAGUGCCAUCUAAAAUAUAGCCUGGGGUUUUUUUAAAUACUCAUAUGGUAUGCUUUGGCUCUUUUAAUUCAUAACAAUUGUUAUUA